GAUUUCAACUAAAAAAGUCAUCAACAAUAAAGUUGUAUUACUCAUCAAGGUCUAUAACUUUUAUUUUUGUAAUUUCUUCAUCCGAUAAAUUGUUAGUAACAUUGUUCACAAAAUUUACAUAUCUAUGUUAUAGUUUAUAAAACCAGAUUAGAGAUAUGUGAAUUUUGUGAACAAUAUUACUAUCACUUUGUCGGAUAAAGAAAUGACCAAAAUAAAAGUUAUAGAUCUUGAUGAGUUAUACAGCUUUGUUGUUGAUGACUCUUUCAGUUCAAAUC
rfam:Oryza rufipogon genomic scaffold, chr06